rnacentral:misc_RNA from 1 species
GAAAUGCGAUAAGUAAUGUGAAUUGCAGAAUUCCGUGAAUCAUCGAAUCUUUGAACGCACAUUGCGCCCUCUGGUAUUCCGGGGGGCAUGCCUGUCCGAGCGUCAUUGCGAACCCCUCAAGCACGGCUUGUGUGAUGGGCCCUCCCGCGUCUUGGUCGUCAAGACGGGCCCGAAAUGCAGUGGCGGCUUCGCGGUUAUCCGAUCAGCCAGAGCGUAUGGGGACUUUCUCUCUGUCACACGCCCGCGGCGCGGACCGACGCCUGUCGACCUUUAUUCAUCUUUUUCUCGGUUGACCUCGGAGCAGGUAGGGAUACCCGCUGAACUUAAGC